AGGCUCGAAAGCAUGGGUAGCGAACAGGAUUAGAUACCCUGGUAGUCCAUGCCGUAAACGAUGAUUACUAAGUGUUGGAGGGUUUCCGCCCUUCAGUGCUGCAGCUAACGCAUUAAGUAAUCCGCCUGGGGAGUACGACCGCAAGGUUGAAACUCAAAAGAAUUGACGGGGGCCCGCACAAGCGGUGGAGCAUGUGGUUUAAUUCGAAGCUACGCGAAGAACCUUACCAGGUCUUGACAUCUUCUGCCAACCUAAGAGAUUAGGCGUUCCCUUCGGGGACAGAAUGACAGGUGGUGCAUGGUUGUCGUCAGCUCGUGUCGUGAGAUGUUGGGUUAAGUCCCGCAACGAGCGCAACCCUUAUUACUAGUUGCCAGCAUUCAGUUGGGCACUCUAGUGAGACUGCCGGUGACAAACCGGAGGAAGGUGGGGACGACGUCAAAUCAUCAUGCCCCUUAUGACCUGGGCUACACACGUGCUACAAUGGAUGGUACAACGAGUCGCGAAACCGCGAGGUUUAGCUAAUCUCUUAAAACCAUUCUCAGUUCGGACUGUAGGCUGCAACUCGCCUACACGAAGUCGGAAUCGCUAGUAAUCGCGGAUCAGCAUGCCGCGGUGAAUACGUUCCCGGGCCUUGUACACACCGCCCGUCACACCAUGAGAGUUUGUAACACCCAAAGCCGGUGGGGUAACCUUUUAGGAGCUAGCCGUCUAAGGUGGGACAGAUGAUUAGGGUGAAGUCGUAACAAGGUAACC
rnacentral:rRNA from 1 species